rnacentral:rRNA from 1 species
GUUGGGCCUGCUCGGUGAGAAGAAAAUUUAACAGCUGCGGUAUUAUAACUGUACUAAGGUAGCAUAAUAAUUUGCCUUAUAAAUUAAGGCUAGAAUGAAUGGUUUGACGAAAAUUAGACUGUCUUUAUUUUAUUUGUUAGAAAUUAAUUUUUAUAGUGAAAAAGCUUGAAUAAUUUAAGGGGACGAGAAGACCCUAUUGAGCUUUAUUUAUUAAUAUUUAAAUAUAAAUAUAUAAUUUAUAUUAUGAAAAUUAUGUUGUAUAUAUAUAUAUAUAUAUAUUUAAUUGGAUUUAAUUUUGAUUGGGGUGAUCAAGGAAUAAAGAUAAAGUAACUUCCUUAAAAUUAAUGAUUGUUUUUAUAGAGUAAUAAACCAAGUUUUUUGCUUAUAAGAUAAGUUACCAUAGGGGUAACAGCGUAAUUUUUUUUGAGAGUUCAUAUUGAAAAAAGAGAUUGCGACCUCGAUGUUGGAUUAAAAAUUACCUUAAGG